rnacentral:rRNA from 1 species
GGUGAACGCUGGCGGCGUGCCUAACACAUGCAAGUCGAGCGAUUUACUUCGGUAAAGAGCGGCGGACGGGUGAGUAACGCGUGGGUAACCUGCCUCAUACACAUGGAUAACAUACCGAAAGGUAUGCUAAUACAAGAUGAUAUAAGAGAUUCGCAUGGAUUUCUUAUCAAAGCUUUUGCGGUAUGAGAUGGACCCGCGUCUGAUUAGCCAGUUGGUAAGGUAACGGCUUACCAAGGCGACGAUCAGUAGCCGACCUGAGAGGGUGAUCGGCCACAUUGGAACUGAGACACGGUCCAA